GGCGAAAGCCUGACGGAGCAACGCCGCGUGAGUGAUGAAGGUCUUCGGAUCGUAAAACUCUGUUAUCAGGGAAGAACAAAUGUGUAAGUAACUGUGCACAUCUUGACGGUACCUGAUCAGAAAGCCACGGCUAACUACGUGCCAGCAGCCGCGGUAAUACGUAGGUGGCAAGCGUUAUCCGGAAUUAUUGGGCGUAAAGCGCGCGUAGGCGGUUUUUUAAGUCUGAUGUGAAAGCCCACGGCUCAACCGUGGAGGGUCAUUGGAAACUGGAAAACUUGAGUGCAGAAGAGGAAAGUGGAAUUCCAUGUGUAGCGGUGAAAUGCGCAGAGAUAUGGAGGAACACCAGUGGCGAAGGCGACUUUCUGGUCUGUAACUGACGCUGAUGUGCGAAAGCGUGGGGAUCAAACAGGAUUAGAUACCCUGGUAGUCCACGCCGUAAACGAUGAGUGCUAAGUGUUAGGGGGUUUCCGCCCCUUAGUGCUGCAGCUAACGCAUUAAGCACUCCGCCUGGGGAGUACGACCGCAAGGUUGAAACUCAAAGGAAUUGACGG
rnacentral:rRNA from 1 species